AGCAGCCGCGGUAAUUCCAGCUCCAAUAGCGUAUAUUAAAGUUGUUGCAGUUAAAAAGCUCGUAGUUGAAUUUCGGGAUUGGCGCAUCGGUCGUGCCUUACGGGGUAUGAACUGGUGCAGUCAAUUUCUCACCUUCUGGAGAACCGCGAUGUCCUUAAUUGGGUGCCGCGGGGAACCAGGACCUUUACUUUGAAAAAAUUAGAGUGUUUAAAGCAGGCUAUUUUUGCUUGAAUACAUUAGCAUGGAAUAAUAAAAUAGGACGGCAUGGUUCUAUUUUGUUGGUUUCUAGGACCACCGUAUUGAUUAAUAGGGAUAGUUGGGGGCAUUAGUAUUCAAUUGUCAGAGGUGAAAUUCUUGGAUUUAUUGAAGACUAACUACUGCGAAAGCAUUUGUCCAAGGAUGUUUUCUAUUAAUUCAAGAACGAAAGUUAGGGGAUCGAAGACGAUCAGAUACCGUCGUAGUCUUAACCAUAAACUAUGCCGACUAGGGAUCGGACGAAGUUAAUUUUAAUUAAUUGACG
rnacentral:rRNA from 1 species